rnacentral:rRNA from 1 species
AGAACGAACGCUGGCGGCAGGCUUAACACAUGCAAGUCGAACGCCCCGCAAGGGGAGUGGCAGACGGGUGAGUAACACGUGGGAACAUGCCCAAAGGUACGGAAUAUUCUCGGGAAACUGGGAGCAAUACCGUAUGUGCCCGAAAGGGGAAAGAUUUAUCGCCUUUGAAUUGGCCCGCGUCGGAUUAGCUAGUUGGUGGGGUAAAAGCCUACCAAGGCGACGAUCCGUAGCUGGUCUGGAGAGGACGACCAGCCACACGUGGGACUGAGACACGGCCCAGACUCCUACGGGAGGCAGCAGUGGGGAAUCGUUAGGACAAUGGGCGCAAGCCUGACUCCGAGCCCAUCGCCGCGGUGGA